rnacentral:lncRNA from 1 species
CGCGCUCUGCUGCCGAUCUCUUUCACAGUGGACAGUGAGACGGGUUCACUGCAGUGCAGUUAUCCCUGCAGACCUGCUCCUGAAAAUGACCGGCCCGCAGAUCACUCACAGAACGACACCUGUGAGACGGAUGGAGACAGGAGAGAGACCGAUGGAGACGUGGUGAAUGAUGGACAUCUCUCCACCUCAUCAGAGACUGAUCUACAAGAACCUCCCAAACCUGCUCCCAGAAAGAGGGCGGAGCCUCAGGAACCUCCUCACCCCGCCCCCAGAUCACCGGAUCAUCGCCUUGACAACGUCUCGUCUCAGAGCAUUGUUCGUAAGGAACAUCCCUGGAUGAAGCUGGUUGAUCCGGGUCCCUGGUAUCGUCUUCCUCCGGCUCCGGCUCCAUCCGCUCAUUCACACCGCCAGCCCGCAACCUUUAACCCCUUCCUGGAGGAAGAUGAGGACGAGUCCAAUGAUGAAGAGACUAUCUCUCUGUUUUUCUCUUUGUCAAGACAAACCCUUUCAGUUGUGAAAACUCAGUUGCACACAAACCCCAAACCUCAUCCUCAGUUCCCAGCAUGCACCAGGCUGCAGCUCCUGUUCAUGGUUUACCGCUCAUCAAGAGGAAGGUGAUCACACACACACGCGUGUCAGAGAAGCAGGUGUGUGAGGAGCAGAAGAAGCUGGAGGAGCGUCUGCUGGAGCUGGAGAAGAGAGGAGUGCAGCUGGAGAGAGAGAUGAGGAGAUGCAUCAGCGGUGAGAAACAACGGACACGCUAAUGCUAACAGACAAACAUACAGUUACUGUAGAGGAGAGAUGUGCAGCUGGAGAGAGAGAUGAGGAGAUGCAUCAGCGGUGAGAAACAACAGACACGCUAAUGCUAACAGACAAACAUACAGUUACUGUAGAGGAGAGGAGUGCAGCUGGAGAGAGAGAUGAGGAGAUGCAUCAGCGGUGAGAAACAACAGACACGCUAAUGCUAACAGACAAACAUACAGUUACUGUAGAGGAGAGGAGUGCAGCUGGAGAGAGAGAUGAGGAGAUGCAUCAGCGGUGAGAAACAACAGACACGCUAAUGCUAACAGACAAACAUACAGUUACUGUAGAGGAGAGGAGUGCAGCUGGAGAGAGAGAUGAGGAGAUGCAUCAGCGGUGAGAAACAACAGACACGCUAAUGCUAACAGACAAACAUACAGUUACUGUAGAGGAGAGGAGCGCAGCUGUAGAGCGAGAUGAGGAGAUGCAUCAGCGGUGAGAAACAACAUACACGCUAAUGCUAACAGACAAACAUACAAUUACUGUAGAGGAGAGGAGAGGAGCGGAGCAGGAGAGAGAGAUGAGGUCAGCGGUGAGAAACAACAUACACGCUAAUGCUAACAGACAAACAUACAGUUACUGUAGAGGAGAGGAGUGCAGCUGGAGAGAGAGAUGAGGAGAUGCAUCAGCGGUGAGAAACAACAUACACGCUAAUGCUAACAGACAAACAUACAGUUACUGUAGAGGAGAGGAGUGCAGCUGGAG